rnacentral:rRNA from 1 species
GACGAACGCUGGCGGCGUGCCUAAUACAUGCAAGUAGAACGCUGAAGGAGGAGCUUGCUUCUCUGGAUGAGUUGCGAACGGGUGAGUAACGCGUAGGUAACCUGCCUGGUAGCGGGGGAUAACUAUUGGAAACGAUAGCUAAUACCGCAUAAGAGUAGAUGUUGCAUGACAUUUGCUUAAAAGGUGCACUUUCAUCACUACCAGAUGGACCUGCGUUGUAUUAGCUAGUUGGUGAGGUAAUGGCUCACCAAGGACACGAUACAUCGCCGACCUGAGGGGGGGAUCGGCCCACAUGGGACUGAGACACGGCCCAGAACCCUAAGGGGAGCAGCAGUAGGGAAUCUUCGGCAAUGGACGGAAGGCUGAACGAGCAACGCCGCGUGAGGGAAGAAGGGUUUCGGAUCGGAAAGCUCUGUUGUAAGAGAAGAACGAGUGUGAGAGUGGAAAGUUCACACUGUGACGGUACCUUACCAGAAAGGGACGGCUAACUACGUG